CUGAAAAGUGAGAGAGGGGGAAGGAGCGGAAACCAAAAAAUCCUCACCGCCUCCGCCGCCGCGCCCCUUCGGCACCGUUCACUGUCGUCACCAUCGCCUAGCCCGCGAGUUCUCCCCGCGGCCUCCGCUUGCCCGCCAUGUCUCCGUGGGCACGAUCCACCGUCACCCCCGCGGAUUUGGAGGGCCUCGUGGCCAGGGGGUUGCUUCACCCGCGUACUGCGGCCAAGGAGUGGAUUGCUCCCGUCGGCGAGUGAGUGCCGUCUCCUCCACCGGGUUACAUCGUCUCCUUCGUCGAGUUCCACGAGGGGGGCUUCGCGAUGCCCGCCCACAACUUCUUCCUUUGGCUGCUAUUUCACUACAAGGUGGGGCUGCAGCAUCUGAAUCCCAACGGGAUUCAACACAUCUCCACCUUCGUCGCCCUGUGCGAGGGCUACCUCGACGCCCCCCGUCUUCGAUCUUUGGAGGUACUUCUUCUCGGUCUCUAUCUAUCGGCUGAAGUCCUGUGGCACAUUCUUGGAUGUUCCAGCAGGCUGCGCAAGUGUGCAUCUGCGCAGCGGUGGUGAUCACCGCCAGCGCCAGUUCAUCAAGAUGGGGGGAAGCAGAAGACUUCCAACAAGGGAUGGCACGCGAAGUGGUUCUAUUUGAAGAAUGGCGCUUCGUCCCCCCUCCCCCGCUUCACCGACCGGCUUGUGACGGAGGCCCCUGGCACUUGGUCGUGGAGGGCGCCGGAUAAGGAGAAGAAAAGGUUGAAUGGCUAUUUCCGGGCGCUUUAGCAAUUGCUGGAGGCCGGACACAAUGGGUGCGGCGUCGUCUCCGCCUACCACAAGCGGAGAACCGCACCCCUCAUGGCGCGGACUCUUUCACUCUACUUCAUGGUCGAGGGUGCCAACUUCUCCGGGACCGUGAUGUCGUCGGAGGGGAUUGACGAGGUGGAGGUACUGCGGCGAUUGAAGGAGACGUUCGACCCUCUGGUGGUGUAUCCCAACCCCCAGCCGCUGGCGAUGCUUCCUGAUGAGGGGCUCUCGUGCUCAUAUGUUCUUUUUUCCUCAUCCUUCCAUCUUUUUGUGUUUCGUUCCUGACCUUCGCUGUUGGAGUGCCCCCGCAGGACACGAGCGACUGCUUUUCAUCUGCCGCACCGCUGCCGGAGGAUGCCGCUCGCCAUGAGAGGAAUCGCCUCGCCGCUGAGGUGAAAUUGGCAGAGAAGAGGGAAAGGGAGAAACGCAUUGAGGAUCGGAGGAAAGCUGAGGAGAGCAUCCGGAGCCGCAAGACGUGGGGCCUUAUCUCUUCCAGUGAUAAGGGUGAGAUGCUCCGCAAGCUGGAGGACGAUUUUGAUGACGCGAGUAGCGGCGGCAGCGAGGAACCAGAGGACGGCGACCCCUACAAGAACAUGGUGUUCCUCCAUGAGAACAUCGGAGGCGACGGGGGUUCCUCAUCCGCCGCAGCGGGAGUGGGCAGCUCUCCUCCGAUGUGGGAGGUUCAUGCGCAGCGCGACGUUGCGCCCGACGCGCAGCAGUUGGUGUCAACAAGACGAAGCGACUCCCCUCCACGGAGGUCGGGAUCCGGUAGACGGGGCCGCUCCCCUUCCCGGGGGUCGGAAUCGAGGCGGCGGAGCCGUUCCCCUCCCUGGAGGCUGAGAAGGUCUUCCGAUCCCUGAAGCGGGGCGGCGAGCAGUUCACCCACGGCAUCGAAACUGCAUCAAUCGCCGUCUCGUCGGGAUCUCGCGGACGGCUCUGCGCGCCCUGCCCGAGCGUCGACCCCGCACGUGGCCGCGGAGGCAUCGGGGAAGCAUCCCGGAGGGGCGGUCGUGUGGCCGACCGUGAAGCGGUCCCGCCCCAAUUCUUCUCGGUAAGAAUUGGCGGCGAUUUUCUUUUUGGUGUCUGGUUCGUUCUGGACAAUUUUUGCUGCUUCUCAGGUCGGUCGUCACCUCCCGCUCUCUAGUGAUUGCCCCAUCCAAGACCCUGGCCAAGCAGAAGGUGACGCCUGCGACCACGCCCUCAGCGGGGUUGGAUGGGACGAGAGUCCGCUCCCCCGGGUCCGUUGCCAGUCAGGACAUCGUGACGCGGGAUGAUCCCAUCAACCUGGGGCGUGCUCCUUCUCCGCCUCCCGCGAGCGUGGGCUUCGGGGAGGUAUGGGAAGGCUCUCCUAAGCCCGCGUUCGGGCGGGAGGUUUCCCCCCCGGCCGGCACCGUGGACGCAGAGCGCGCCGUACCCCUUCCUCCCAGCGAUGUUAUUGAGCUUGACUCUCCUCAAGACCAGGAGGCUGGUGCGUUCGCGGGGGCCCCGCCUUCCAACGCGGACAUUGUGCUCCCGGACGCAGGGACUGGGUUGACCGAAGAGGAGAGAGGUCCCCCCGCCGAGGAGACCACGGCGACGUCCAACCCGACUCUGGGCCGGCCAUGCUCCAGAGACCAGUAUCUACGCUCCGACCUCCGCUCUUUCGCGGAGCCCUGCACCUUCCUAGGAAGACGCCGCUUCGCCGCCUGACCCCAAGGUGGACUCCUUGAUCACAAGUGAGGUUGCCGUGUAGCUUUCGGAUGUCACGCCAAGACCUGCUCCCAUGUCAACCGAGCCGUCAUCCAUCGUUGCGCCAGCCCCGAUCAUUACAACGACGAUGGCAACCACGGCUGGCACGGGGGUCGGGCAGAUCGGCGAUGCAGGUGUGGCGGCUGGAAGCGGGUGGACCAGUUUGGGCAGCGUGGAGGCCCUCGGCCUUCUUGCGUCCAAUUUUGGAGGCUCGAAUGCAGAACUUGCAGCUGCUACACAGAACUUCAGGCGGAGAGACCUCAAGUUCGGGUGGCUCCGAAGAGUGGGGGCAGACAUAAUCGCGGUGAUGUGCUCAUUCGUCAUCCCAUCGUUUGUGGAGACGGAGCUUCGGGAGGACGAGCGUCUGACGCUGCGGGCUAAAAAUCAAGCGCUCUUGGAGGUACGUCAGACCAUGGAAGAGGAGUUGGCUUCGACUGGCCGAGCCCUUGAGGACGAGCGCCUGGCUAGGGCGGCUGACCAUAAGAACGCCAACUAGGUGCUGAACGAGAUGCUUGCCCAGUCUUCUUCUGUCGCCUCGGAGCUCGAGCAACUUUGAAAGAAGCAUGACAAGCCGCGCGUCGGGGUCGAGGCAGCAGAGCAAGAGCGAGAUACUGCGGUCCAAGGGCGCGAUGCAGCCAUCCAGGAACGCGGCCUUGCAAUCCAAGAGCGUGAUGUUGCGAUCCAGGAGCGCGAUACGGCAACCCAAAGGUGCGACGUCGUGCUGUCAGCUGCAGAGGAGGUGUCGGAACGAGAGAAGACCGCGCUCUCGAGCUUGCAGAACGCCCGCAACGAGUCGGAUGAUCUGCGUCAGGAGCUCGCUCGUGUUGAUGGCCAGAGGAGCGAAGCGGAGGUGAUGGUGGCCUCGCUGACCAUCGACGUCGCCACCCAUCGCGCUACGCAACAAUGACUAGAGGCUGCCAUCGUGCAGAUCUUUUUGGUUCCUUUUUCAGAGGAUUGCAUGAAGGAGCGAGCUUGGUUACCUUAGUAGCUGCGAACUCCCUACAUCAAGAAGCCGAGUUGAAGUUGCUAGAGAUGAAAGUGGCGCUCGAGCUCCAGGUGAUAGGUUCUGACAACCUUCGCCUCGCAGUGGGGCUCGUGUUGGACGACCUCGGUGUAGAGGCCGCCGCUGCACCGGGUCAGCUUGUUAGCCAACUCAUCGAGAGCGUGGAUGGGGUGAAGCAGGAGGCGCAGGCCGCUCGUCAAGAGGUCGAGGCUGCACGCUAGGCGGCGAGGGAUGCUCAGUACACCGGGGUGCACUGUGCCUUUGUCAUCGCGCGCAGUCAUUACGUCAACAUCGACCUGGAGGAGCUGGGCAAAGGAUACUGACGGAGGUACAUUUGGGUACCUCCCUGCCGAGUAGUUAUCUCCUGACUGGGUACCUACUCGGCCAGGACUACUCUGCACAACUACCCGGCGAAUAGGCGCUCGGCUGGACGUCGGAAGGUUCCUCCGAGGAUCAGGAUCAAGGCGCGGAUAUGUAUUCCGGAUAUCUAGGGACCUCAGCUGAUAUGAUUCCAUGUAACAACCCGAGCAGAUAUCCUCCCUUACUUGUAACCCACAGCACCUGGCCUACAAAGGCGCCGUGAGGGGACCCAUAGAACGCAUCUCAUCUUUCAAUGUCAAGCUCAUACGAUACACACAACACAGGA